CCCGGGCACAAGCGGUGAGCACGUGGUUUAAUUCGAUGCAAACCGAAGAACCUUACCUGGGUUUGACAUGUGCGUGUUACUGGGGUGAAAGCCGAGGGACCAUAUCUUCGGAUGUGGAGCAUACACAGGUGCUGCAUGGCUGUCGUCAGCUCGUGUCGUGAGAUGUUCGGUUAAGUCCGCUAACGAGCGCAACCCUCGCUGUGUGUUAUAUGUGUCACACGGGACUGCCGGUCUUAAGCCGGAGGAAGGUGGGGAUGAUGUCAAGUCAGCAUGGCCUUUAUAUCCUGGGCUACACACACGCUACAAUGGCCAACACAAUAGGUUGCUAAGCCGCGAGGUGGCGCCAAUCCAUAAAGUUGGUCUCAGUUCAGAUUGUAGGCUGCAACCCGCCUGCAUGAAGAUGGAGUUGCUAGUAACCGCAGGUCAGCUAUACUGCCGGUGAACUACGUUCCCGGGGCUU
rnacentral:rRNA from 1 species